UGUCCCUCGAAAGGCUUUCAGGCUAACUUAGAUUUAAACGGAAUAACCCAGUAAAUGAUAAGCUGAAGAUAUCGCCGUGUUUUUCCAGGUUGAACGUUACAAACGACUCACGAAGCUUCUGGCAUGUCACGAUGACGCAAUUGGAAAAGCUUUCAUUUCUUUCGUCGUGAUAUAACUAAACGAAAUUUUCCUGUGGGACUUUUUUACAAGUACACACUAGAUUUCGUCCCAAAAGAAAAAUAAGGGCUUGGCUGGAAAAACUUCAGCGUUCGUUUCCUUUUCGUCGAUUGUGAAGUUAUGAAUUUAGAUAAGAAAAAUAUAU